AACAACCAAUGGUUUACUGGCUGCCAGCAGCCAAAAACCUCGCUAAAGGAAAAGAAUCGUUCGGUCCAACAAGCUCAGCGCACACGGUUGCUCUGGAAUGGCGGGUAGUGUAGGCAGGUUUAUAUGUUCGAUUUCAAAUGGGUGGCAACAUACGAAUAUACGUAGAAAUAUUUUAGAGUGUAGAUUCACUCAUUUUGCUUUGUAUGUAGUCACUUGUUAAAAUGUCUAGAAAGACAAAUAUUUGAAAAUGGAGGAAGUAGUUUAUACAAGAAAAAUGUAUAUCUAGUUGGAGCACUAAAAAAAGUUGGUAUUCCGUACAUGCAUAGGUAGUCUACGGUCGUCUGAUCACUCACAAAGUUUGAUGCUUGCUUGUUGACACAUUAGCCCGUGAAAGUGUGAAAACGUUCGCGACUUUACAAGUUACAACAAACCACACGGACAACCGUUUUCUAUGCAGCUCCCCUCACCCACUCGCCCAACCCCUACCCGUCUCUUAUCCAUUCCAGUGACUGAGAGUCAGAGGAGAUGUGGCAGCGACACCGAUCUGCUCGCGGCGGCCAUGGCGGGUCUUGCGGCAUGGGACAGCUGCUUCCGGCGUCCGACGGCAGCACGCAUCCCCCAAAGCCCGACAUGCUCAAGCUACGCGCAGCUCGUCCACCUUCCACUCAAAGCGACAACGGCGGCCGCGGAGGACCAGUGGCAGCCAUGGCUGGUCUCGAUUCGACGUGCCGCGGCAGGGCUAGGCGCGUGUAGGCUGCUCGGCAUCAGCGGCCGACAGCGCGCACCUGUGCAAGGAGGUCCUCGUCGAAGAAUAUCAGAGCCGCCUUGUUCUUGAACUCACAGAGGAGCAUGUGGUCGCCCUCUGGGUCCUUGUACUGGCGAGGUGACGAAUCGGUGACCACGCUCCGGGGCGAGCGAGGCCGGGGUGUACGACGAGCCAAGUCGCUAUCCUGGGCUCUGUAAUUGGAAAUUUCGGGCCGAGCGAGCACAUCCGGUUGGUUAGCUGGCGCCUUGGCGGGAGCUGCUGUUGCUCCUCGCUGGGAACAACCACCAUAUCCUCAGGCGGCGGUAGCGACUCGUUCGUGUGCGCGCUGGGCCGGAGCGUCACGGGCGCCAUCACGGCGACCACACCAAGCGCAAGGGCCUUGGGAACAGCCAGAUGCCCCUACACUACAAGCUUUCUCAGAAGAUGGCAUUGGGUAGUGUUCUUUCACGGCACUACUAUCUAUUUCAUGAGGAACCACUUGGCAGAUCUGUAGGAUCGCAAUGUUCAGCCUGGCUUCGAUCUUUGAUCUGGAUGUAAGAUGCGGUGACCUUGGCGCCACAACCAUGGAGACAGCCAGUCUGGACAUGAUGAUGGCAGGGGUUCAGCAGCGAGAAAAGGAGGAGAGUCUGAAAAGUAAGC